CUAUAAUGCAGUCGAGCGGACAGAUGGGAGCUUGCUCCCUGAUGUUAGCGGCGGACGGGUGCGUAUCACGUGGGUAACCUGCCUGUAAGACUGGGAUAACUCCGGCAAACCGGGGCUAAUACCGGAUGGUUGUUUGAACCGCAUGGUUCAAACAUAAAAGGUGGCUUCGGCUACCACUUACAGAUGGACCCGCGGCGCAUUAGCUAGUUGGUGAGGUAAUGGCUCACCAAGGCAACGAUGCGUAGCCGACCUGAGAGGGUGAUCGGCCACACUGGGACUGAGACACGGCCCAGACUCCUACGGGAGGCAGCAGUAGGGAAUCUUCCGCAAUGGACGAAAGUCUGACGGAGCAACGCCGCGUGAGUGAUGAAGGUUUUCGGAUCGUAAAGCUCUGUUGUUAGGGAAGAACAAGUACCGUUCGAAUAGGGCGGUACCUUGACGGUACCUAACCAGAAAGCCACGGCUAACUACGUGCCAGCAGCCGCGGUAAUACGUAGGUGGCAAGCGUUGUCCGGAAUUAUUGGGCGUAGAGGGCUCGCAGGCGGUUUCUUAAGUCUGAUGUGGAAGCCCCCGGCUCAGCCGGGGAGGGUCAUUGGAAACUGGGGAACUUGAGUGCAGAAGAGGAGAGUGGAAUUCCACGUGUAGCGGUGAAAUGCGUAGAGAUGUGGAGGAACACCAGUGGCGAAGGCGACUCUCUGGUCUGUAACUGGCGCUGAGGAGCGAAAGCGUGGGGAGCGAACAGGAUUAGAUACCCUGGUAGUCCACGCCGUAAACGAUGAGUGCUAAGUGUUAGGGGGUUUCCGCCCCUUAGUGCUGCAGCUAACGCAUUAAGCACUCCGCCUGGGGAGUACGGUCGCAAGACUGAAACUCAAAGGAAUUGACGGGGGCCCGCACAAGCGGUGGAGCAUGUGGUUUAAUUCGAAGCAACGCGAAGAACCUUACCAGGUCUUGACAUCCUCUGACAAUCCUAGAGAUAGGACGUCCCCUUCGGGGGCAGAGUGACAGGUGGUGCAUGGUUGUCGUCAGCUCGUGUCGUGAGAUGUUGGGUUAAGUCCCGCAACGAGCGCAACCCUUGAUCUUAGUUGCCAGCAUUCAGUUGGGCACUCUAAGGUGACUGCCGGUGACAAACCGGAGGAAGGUGGGGAUGACGUCAAAUCAUCAUGCCCCUUAUUACCUGG
rnacentral:rRNA from 1 species